CUUUCUGAUGGUGACCACAAUGGAGACAUCAAGUGACCAAGGAGAAAUGGAGAAUUCUACGGAGUCCGUUAAACAGAAGCCUCAGGGAUCUGGCAGUGUCUACACUCAAGCUGCAAGACGGUGAGCAGGAGGAGAGCACGGUGGACCCUUGUUUACAAGCUGGCUGAGUGGUGUACACUGACUAGGAAAGAGCAAACGUGUUCCCGCUGGCACCUACAAGAGACCACUCUUCAUAUUCCAAAUGGAUUGCAGACAGAUGGAAUUCAGUGGCACAGAGGUCGGGGGAGCAACAACGUGUUUGCCUUUCUGGAGCCCCUGCUGCUUUGUGUGUACCUCUGAGUGGCUGACUGCCAAUCCAGUUAACUGGCCAAAUGGAGAUCAAUUGGAUCUUCUUCACUGAAAAUGGUUUCUGGCUUAAAAAAAAAACCACCACCGCCAUCAUCUGUGGAAGAACAUUUUAGCACAUGACGUAUGAGCGUUCCAGGGGCUCUGCUGACUUGAACAGGGACAGCUGGACUUCAGAAUGGAAAUACUCCGAGUUAAGAAGUCAUCCCAAUGUAGAAAUGGGAAAGAAGUCCGCGCCAAAAAGAAUUCUUUCGUUAAACAGGAAUACAGAAUUAUACAAUUUUCAACAGUUACAAAACAAAACUAUCUUAAUGUUUAUAUUAAAGUCUUGUUUAAGUAUGCCAACUUUGAAACUAUUCUGAAACUGGUAUGUUUAUGCUGUAUUUUUGGAAAAAGAAGUCUAUACAGUCAUUAAAAUUAGUAAUUUCAAGGUUGCAUAUCUCAAGCAAGGAUACUCACUGGAACUUUCCCACAUGAAGCCUAAAUUUGGAGUAGUGUAAUCACCCCCUCAGAAGUACAGUGUGAACAAGAUAGGGCAAUGACCAUCCACAGGAGGAUGGUGGGAAUGGAGCCAAGAGCACCCGCCGGGAUGAGGAAGAGACCGAAGUCCCAAAUGCUGGUCUGAGCACAGCCCAGAGCCAAGCGCAC